rnacentral:rRNA from 1 species
GGUAGUGGAUUGAAUUAGAUCAGAGAGUUGUAUGAUUAUAGGGAAGUCGGGAGCGUCAGUAUUCAGCUGUCAGAGGUGAAAUUCUUGGAUAUGCUGAAGACUAACUACUGCGAAAGCUUUCGCCAAGGAUGUUUUCAUUAAUCAGAGAACGAAAGUUAGGGGAUCGAAGACGAUCAGAUACCGUCGUAGUCUUAACCAUAAACUAUGCCGACUAGGGAUCGGGCGGUGUUUCUAUGAUGACCCGCUCGCACCUUACGAGAAAUCAAAGUUUUGGGGUCUGGGGGGAGUAUGGCGCAAGCUGAAACUUAAAGAAUUGACGGAAGGCACCACAAGGCGUGGAGCCUGCGGCUUAAUUUGACUCAACACGGGGAAACUCACAGGUCCAGACAAAAUAAGGAUUGACAGAUUGAGAGCUCUUUCUUGAUCUUUUGGAUGGAGGUGCAUGGCCGUCUUAGUUGGUGGAGUGAUUUGUCUGCUUAAUUGCGAUAACGAACGAGACCUCGGCCCUUAAUAGCCCGGUCCGCGUUUGCGACCGCUGGCUCUUAGUGGGGACUAUCGGCUCAAGCCGAUGGAAGUGCGCGCAAUACAGGGCUUUGAAGCCUUAGAGGUUCUGGGCCGCACGUCCGCUACACUGACAGGCAGCGAGUACAUCACGUGCGAGAGUCGGGUAUCUUGGUAAACCCUGUCGUGCUGGAUAGGCAUGCAUGAGUA